GAGGAAGGAGAGGACCUUGUGGACGCGCUCUUGAGGAUACGCAAGGAAUGUGGCCUCGACAUGCCCCUUACCAUGGGAAUGAUCAAAGCAGUUAUACUUGAUCUGUUUGGUGCCGGAAGCAAGACAUCAACUAUAACUCUUCAAUGGGCCAUGUCAGAGCUCAUGAGGUCCCCAAAUGUGAUGCAGAAGGCACAAGCCAAAGUAUGCAAGAACCUCCAAGGAAAGCCGAAGGUGAUCGAGGCUGACUUGAUCAAUCUCAAGUACCUCAGACUCGUCAUCAAGGAGACAAUGAGGCUUCAUUCAGCUGCACCAUUGCUUCUCCCUAGGGAGGCAAGUGAUACUUGCAAAAUCCUCGGGUAUGAUGUCCCCGAGGGCACCACGAUGUUGGUGAACACAUGGGAAAUCGGAAGAGACCCUAGGCACUGGGAAUACCCUAAGGAUUUCAAAGCAGAGAGAUUUGAAUCUGGCAUGGUUGAUUUCAAAGGAACAGACUUUGAGUACAUACCAUUUGGGGCAGGUCGAAGGAUGUUCCCUAGAAUGAUGUUUGCGCAGGCUAGGAUCGAGAUUGUAUUGGCCGCACUUCUCUACCACUUCGACUGGGAGCUCCCAGGAGGGGUGAGACCAGAUGAGCUGGACAUGACUGAGGAGAUGGGCCUCACUGUCCGACGGAAGAACAACCUGUACCUGCACGUCGUGGUUCGUGUGCCCCCGGUUUAA
rnacentral:rRNA from 1 species